rnacentral:lncRNA from 1 species
ACUGGGGCUGUCAUGGCUAAAGCUGGUGACACUACAAUUGUAGGCAGUGGCAGGAAGAAGGCUGGAGAUGGUCACGACAUGGGAAGAAACAGCAACUGGUUCCUGGGGUUUCAGAAAAUAAGGUAAAAUUAUCCAAUUUCAGGGGCAAAGUCAAGAACUAUCAUGAAUUACUGCAAGAGCUCCCAGUGGUCCAAGGAAUACGACAUGAAUACUGCAGUGAGGGUUUCCUUUGUUCUGGCUGAGAAUGUGGCUCUAGGUGAUAAGAUCCUCAGGAAAAUCUCCUAAAGGAAGAGGAAAUAUAAACAGUAAAGAGAUGUACAAGCACAAAGAAAAGACCGUGUGAGGACACAGUUACAAAGUGAUCAUCUGCAAGCCUCAGGAGAAGCCUACUCUGCUCACACUUGGACCUUGAACUUCCAGACUCCAGAUCUGCUGGAACAUGCAUGUAAUGGUGAUAAAGCUUCCUCUCUAGAGACAAGGACUAUGCAUAGUGGCAGAUGGAACAACAAAACAGAAUUUGCCUCCCUGGGUGACCCCUUAAAGCAGAAGUGCCUGGUUAGUCCUGUGCUAUCAUGGGAGAGGUAUAAACUUCUAUUUUGUUUGAGCCACUCUCUUUUUGUUUGUUUCUUUAUUACAGUAGUUUAGUCUGUCCCCUUAUCAAUAAACAUCCAAAAGCGUAUUUUGGAGAAAAGAAAUCAGUAGUCCCAAGGUCCCCAAAUCUUUAGGUGUCGGUGAUAUAUGGGAAAAAAUGGGAAACACGUUAAUUGUAGUUUUCUUGAAAAUGUUUGGCAUCCUGAAGAAAAAGCUCAAAUCAUAAUUCUAAAUAUAAAUGAAAUCAAUAGUUGGAGCUCUUACAUCUCACUGUUAAAGAUUAAACGGUAAGCUCUAUGAAAGGAAGAAUUCAAUUUUUGUUCACUGUCUUAUCUCCAGAGCCUAAAACAGACAACUGGUAUGCAAACAUUUGACGUGUCAAUAAAUGAUUGCUUAGUGGUUUUCAAUAGUUCAUAAAACUAAAUUUACAGACACACAAUGCUGGCAUU